ensembl:lncRNA
CGUUUGGGCUCAACCUGGAUCCCACUCAGUCCUUGGCAGCUCUGUCCCAAGCUCCAGGUUUGCUCAAUCAUCUUGGGCCUCGCUCUCCUCCUCAGAUACCUGGCAGCACUGCCAAGGGGGUCUCCCCUGCUGCCUCUGCCAGGCCCCUGUCUUGGGACCCUGAACCUCUACUGUUUGGCCUCUCCCUUGUCCUUGCCAGGCCAACCUUGCUCUGCAGGGACAGCAACCCGCCGGGAGCAGAUCCUUGCUAUCUGCUGCCCACCCAGCACACCGGAGCCUCAGGAUUUCACUCGCACCUGGAUUCACUGCCCCCAGAGCCUGACAUCACUGUUAGACUCAGUCUCCCAGACCAGACAUGCCAGGACCCAUGGUCAUAAUAUCGCUACGCAAGCUACCAACUCCCACGUUUGGCCUGCCCCGCUGAGCCGCUUCCUCCCAGCCCCUGUUGCUGUGGGACAAUUUUUGAGGCCAUUUCGAGGAGGUUCUGGGACCAGUUUGAAAAAGACCAAGUCUCCUGGCUCUGAUCUUUGGAGACUUCGGAUAUUCUGGAUCAAGGCUAGAUACUAUGGCCUUGUGAAAAGACUGGAAAUAUUUUCUCUUUUUAGUGUACAAACCUUAAUGUUAAAGAUAUUUAAAAAUGUUACAUAAUCUAUACCUUGUCGUAAAUGUCUCUGCAAGUUACCAUGAAACUGGGUUUUUUUUUACCCUUUGAGCUUCAGUGGAAGUGUCCCAGAAGACAUGAGACUCGCUCUGGUUUUUAUCACAAGGGAAUUGUCUCCUCUAGGGUCACUCUGCCUGCAUUCAAAUGCCUUUGGGAACUUGCAAGGGUUCCCCUGUCCUUCAGGACUUCUGCUGGCUUUGUUUGGAAACGCCCUUUGUGACUGAUGCCUGCUGCCCUGUCACCCUGAGAGAAGGAAGGAGCAUCAGCUGCUUAAACACGCCACACUCGGUGAGCACUCUGGUUCUCCUCAUUUCUUGUAGCUGUUUUCUACGGCCGCUGUACCGAAUUACCUCGAGUCAGCGGUUGAAAACGACACUUGUUCUCCCAUUUCUGUGGGUUUAGCAAUCCCACACAAGUUCUGUUGGCCUAAAUUAAGGUGUUGGCAGGUGUUCCCUUCUGGGUCUAGGGGAAAUCCAUGUCCUUGCCUUUCCGAGCUUCUAAAGGCUGCCCACGUUCCCUGGCUCCUGGUUCCCUCCCUCCAUCGUCCCCUCCCUCCAUCGUCAAAGCCAGCAAUGCUGCAUCUUCCUGGAAAGGACACGUGAAGCAGAAUUCCGUGCAUUCAGAAACGCUGGAGGUGAGCCAGCUCUUUGCCAAGUUACCAGUCUACGGGGAGCCCCUCACCCUCGUGGUGGACUUUUUCUAAAAGGGGGUGGCAUGUGUGUUUAGAGACAACAGCCCUUUCACCAACAGCUCCCAGACCUGGUAGGCUGACAUGGUUCACAGACUCUGAAGGGACAGAAGUAAGCCUAUCAGGUACCAAGGCUGCCGCCGCCUACGUGCUGUGCCCGGAAGAGUAUUUCUUCUCAACUGAGCUGCCUUUAAAUAACAGACACUUGUUCGUGGGAUACCGGUCAGGCGCUUUCUAUGGGAACGCGUGUUGCUGUCUGCACGGUUCUGCCUCAAC